GACGAACGCUGGCGGCGUGCUUAACACAUGCAAGUCGAGCGGUAAGGCCUUUCGGGGUACACGAGCGGCGAACGGGUGAGUAACACGUGGGUGAUCUGCCCUGCACUUCGGGAUAAGCCUGGGAAACUGGGUCUAAUACCGGAUAUGACCUCAGGUUGCAUGACUUGGGGUGGAAAGAUUUAUCGGUGCAGGAUGGGCCCGCGGCCUAUCAGCUUGUUGGUGGGGUAAUGGCCUACCAAGGCGACGACGGGUAGCCGACCUGAGAGGGUGACCGGCCACACUGGGACUGAGACACGGCCCAGACUCCUACGGGAGGCAGCAGUGGGGAAUAUUGCACAAUGGGCGAAAGCCUGAUGCAGCGACGCCGCGUGAGGGAUGACGGCCUUCGGGUUGUAAACCUCUUUCAGCAGGGACGAAGCGCAAGUGACGGUACCUGCAGAAGAAGCACCGGCUAACUACGUGCCAGCAGCCGCCGUAAUAC
rnacentral:rRNA from 1 species